GCUGUUAGUUUGUGGGGUGGGG
rnacentral:miRNA from 1 species